UACAGAGGGUGCAAACGUUGCUCGGAAUCAUUGGGCGUAAAGCGCACGUAGGCGGCCUAGCAAGUAGGGAGUGAAAGCCCUCGGCUUAACCGAGGAAGUGCUUUCUAAACUACUAGGCUUGAAUACUGGAGAGGGUCGCGGAAUUCCCGGUGUAGAGGUGAAAUUCGUAGAUAUCGGGAGGGAACACCAGUGGCGGAAGGACGG
rnacentral:rRNA from 1 species